UGGCUCAGGAGCCCCACUGUGGGGUAAGUGU
rnacentral:piRNA from 1 species